rnacentral:lncRNA from 1 species
AUUUUGGAUCUCCUCGAUCACUUUAUUUUAAAGAAAAAUAUCAGAUAAUUGUUCCGUGGUAAACUGAAACUUUUGUUCUGUAGUGUUUCUUAAUUGGAAAGAACACGUCUUAAAGCAUCAAUUGACAACUUUAAAGCAGCUUAGUAAUAAUUAAAGUGCAAUGCCAAUGAAAAAGGUAGCAUUCAUGAAGGCGUUAAACUGGAGAAGUUUGUUAAGUGACAAUCAAAAUAACUGAAAAACUGGAGAAUAACCAACAAAACUUCUGCUGUCAAGGACCUUAGAGUAAUAAUUAAAGUGCAAUGCCAAUGAAAAAGGUAGCAUUCGUGAAGAUGUAAAACUGGCACUCUCAAAAGGAAAGAUCUUUAUUGGAUUAUCGGUUUUCUUCUGGCGAUGUUUGUUAAGUGACAAUCAAAAUAACUGAAAAAACUGGAGAAUAGGCAACAAAACUUUUGCUGUCAAGGACCUUAGAGUAAUAAUUAAAGUGCAAUGCCAAUGAAAAAGGUAGCGUUCAUGAAGACGUAAAACUGGCACUCUCGAAAGGAAACAUCUUUAUUGGAUUAUCUGUUUUCUUCUGGCCAAGUUUGUUAAGUGAAAAUCAAAAUAACUGAAAAAACUGGAGAAUAGCCAACAAAACUUUUGCUGGCAAGGACCUUAGAGUAUUGUAGAAUCUUUGGCUAAAACCUUCAGGCGCUGAAAAUUUGUGGCCCACCCUGUAAUUGUGCCAUGCAUAUAUUCCUACCUUGAAGCACUUGGAUUGUUUUAAAAUGGCGAACUAAAUUCUAGAUGAAUAGCAUCCCACUGUGACUGUUUUAGGACCUAGUUUCUUUCGUUCUAUUCAAUGUUAUGGUAGUUUCUUUUCUAUCUCACUUUGAGUAGUGUCCCAUGCCCACGACCUUAGGUCUCCCGCAUCUUAUCGAACCCAGAAGCAUAGUUCCAAACCUUCCAGUCAUCGAAUAUUAGCUUGUCCUAAACUACCGAUCUAUUUAUCACAUGCAAUCAUAAAAAUGAAACUUGUGCUUUUUCAUCUUUUAUUUUUAAUUUACAAUAAGACGAUUGGAAUCUUCAUCUUAUUUUCUAAGUUACAGUUUUCUGGGAAAUCAAGCUGUAAGAAGCUAUACCUUUUAAAGAAGGAUGCCACUGUGAACUUGGGCAUAAACUAUUUUUCCUCUGUAGAGCAGUGUAAAAAAUCUCUUCUGCCGUCCAUGGUUCAAGGAAAAGUACGGGGAGGUCAAUAUAAGCCGUGGAGCUGAGCCAUAUCCAUAAUCACAUGUUGUGGAGUAGAAACUCUUUUUCACUAUGCAGAAUACAUCUGAGUGAAAAUACCCACGAAACAAACUGAGUGCGCUUCAUCUUUAAUUGUCAUGGGAGUGAUAUAACAAUGUGCAAAUAAGAAAGAAAAAUAACAAUGCACUUUUGUUCUGUUGAUUCCAAGGCAGGUUGCUGCAGACAUCAAAGCUCUUUUCCCGAUUUAAAUUCAUUGAGUUAUUACAGUUUACUAGGUGUUCGUGAUUCUAGAACAUAUCUUGUUAUAUAUUUUCUUCGACCAACAAAAUAAUGUAAUUUAUGAAUA